rnacentral:rRNA from 1 species
GAUGAACGCUAGCGGCAGGCUUAAUACAUGCAAGUCAGGGGCAGCAUGACUGUAGCAAUACAGUUGAUGGCGACCGGCAAACGGGUGCGGAACACGUACAGAACCUUCCUUCGAGCGGGGAAUAGCCCAGAGAAAUUUGGAUUAAUACCCCAUAGUACAACGGAGUGGCAUCACUUUGUUGUUAAAGAUUUAUCACUUGAAGAUGGCUGUGCGGCUGAUUAGGUAGUUGGCGGGGUAACGGCCCACCAAGCCUGCGAUCAGUAACUGGUGUGAGAGCACGACCAGUCACACGGGCACUGAGACACGGGCCCGACUCCUACGGGAGGCAGCAGUAAGGAAUAUUGGUCAAUGGACGAAAGUCUGAACCAGCCAUGCCGCGUGGAGGAUGAAGGUCCUCUGGAUUGUAAACUUCUUUUAUAUGGGACGAAAAAAGGGUUUUCUAACUCGUCUGACGGUACCAUAUGAAUAAGCACCGGCUAACUCCGUG